GUUAAAAUUUAUUUAUAUAUAUGAAGGAUAAGGUGCACGCUGGAGUAUAUUUCACUCAGAAAAACUUGGACACUGGAUAUUUUCAUAUUGAUUUAAUAGAUACAUAUUUACUCCCCCUCAAGUUUAAAAUCUUUUCAAGAAUGACAACUCCAUGCCUCCAAUACUUUUAUGUUAACGAUUAUGUAUUUUUAGCUACUGGUAAAUGUAUAUCUAAUACAUAUAACUACAGAUGGAAAAACAUCUUUAAAAAUUAGCAAGGUUCAUGAAAAUCAUCAGCUUGAGGCAAUUUACAGAUUAGAUGUAACCUGCACUUCAGUUUGUGAAAUAUAAUAGGAAACUAUAAAUUCCAGAGGUUGGAUGCAAUUAUUCAUAAGUUCUAUUUCAAUUCUACUUUUGAGAAUUUUACAAUAACCAAAACCUGUGUCCUCAAUUGACCAAUCUGCUUAUAGUUAGGUGUUAGUCUAUUAAAUUCCACACGUGUCAUUCUCAAGCAUAGGAUAGGAUAUGUCAUCUAAUACUAUCUGUGGUAUGAGAAAAGACAUCCUCAGCACUGCAAAACAAAAACACCCACAAACAAAUGAAAGCCUGAGGUUAACUUUUAAGCAGGCCUCUCCAGUUGAAGUUACGUGUCCUAGGAUGCUUAAAGCAGGAAUACCGGCAUAAAUAAGAUUCCGCAAGUGUCAUUAUUACAGACUAAAUGCAAUGCAUACAGCUUAUUGACACUUUUGUCCUUUCCUCAAUUUUACAAAGGAAAUGAAGUUUUUAUUUACUUCCAUUUUUUUAAAAACUCACUUGUCUUAAAUAGAUCUGGGUUUCAUAAUAAAAAAUAUGUAAGAUCAAAAAUCAGCAGAGGCAAAGGAAGCACUGUUGUACAGUGAAUAAACAGCAACUGCAAGGGAGUCAAGAGGAUAACGGCCGUUCAUCUCAAACCCAUGCAAUCACCUAGAACAAAUCGUGAGGUUCUGGUUCGUAAUACCCUUCUUUCUGACUCAAAGGACCACGAAUACAAGCUCCUUUCGCAGAAAACCUCAAAUUUAUGGCCCGGAGAUUACGUAACCAAACAACGCCAAAGACUUCUAACUUGUACAGCGGCUCCUGCUUGACCUCAUUCGUGCGUCAGCGCACUAGCACUUGUUUCUGUCUUUCCAAGCCAGAUCCGGCCGUUGGGUUCUGGCGUUCCCGUUUCAGAUUGGCGUGCGACGUUUCUGACGUUUCUGUCGUCGCUGGGCCGACCGGAUCGGGACAGAUCUGCUCUGCUCGGGGCAGAAUACGCACCCGACCUGGCCCUGCCCAGCGAUCAGGCAGCCACCCACCACGGACUCCGCGGCCCGGGCCCCCCAGAGAGCGGGGAGAGGCUCCGCCGGACGCGGCCCCGACGCCCGCCAAUUCCCGACUCCACAGGUAGCGACACUGACGCCGGCCUCCGCGCCGACACCCUCGCCGCUCGCCCGCCCUCACCAUGGUCUCGGCCGCCUCUGCCUUCGCUGGGCCGCGCGACCACCCGCUGCCGCCCCGCGCCGCCGCAGCCGCUCUCGCAGCUCCGAUCGCCGCCGCCGGUCGGGACAAUAACCGGGGCCCGCCUCGCGCCACUGCGGCCAAUGGCCGCCCACCUUGCUGGUUUGAACCCCGGCAUCUGCCCAAUAGUGAGCCUUUUUCUAACUAGAAUCCCGCCCCCGGCACCUCCUCCCUAACGGCUGUUUGUUUUUGCACACGGCACGCGGAGGCGGGGCCUACAGCCCCAACACUGACGUUCCCUCCACCUCUCACCGCGCGCGGAGCCUGACGAACAGGAGGGCGAACCAAUGAAAGCGAAGGAGAGCCAAUGAAAACAUCGCCCGCGAGCUAAGGAGGCUGGACACUGGGAACGACAGCGGAAUUGGUCAAUACGGUGGCGUAAUUUCUGGCGUCUGGACUUUCCCGCCCAUUCUCAGUGUCGGUUCUGAGAUUUGUUUGGGUAGGAAUAAGCUGUAGGGGGCCCUUCUUCAAGCGACUCUACUAAAGACUGAAGAUUUCUUCGUCUCAGCCGGGACUCGCAUCCCGCGGGCACUGAGAUUCAAGGUUGCGCGAUCCACACUUUGAACCGCUGUUUUGGCUGACUGAGCUCGAUGUUCUCUUCAGGCGCCGAUCCCUGACAGGGGCCCUCUAAUCCUCUUUAAUUUGCCUUGUUUUUCUUACGCAUUAGGUUAAAGUUUUGAGGGAAAUGCUGAAUCGAGCACAAGAAAAAUUCUAACGCAGAAUUUACAUCCCUCGGGAACUGUUGUGAAGAUUUAAGAAUGAAUGUGAAUGCAUUUAACACUUAGCGCCCGAGCGAUCUUUUUUCUCUGGUCCACAACCUGUUUGGACCUGGACAAUCUGAGCUUUUGAGGAGAGUAGGCUCCAUUUCACAGUUGAAGAAAUGAGCUUAUACGAACAUAGUCAAUUGUGUGGGCUAACACAAUCAAUAGAUAACGAGGAUACAGUCUUAGAUGUUUUUUCUAAUUCAUUCCAACUUGCAUUUAAACAGUUGCCCAGACAAUGCUGGGUUCUAGGUGUUGGGGAGGAUGGAGUUUCCAUGUUUAUGGUGGGAUUUUCCUAGGCUGGCAUUUCAGAAAUUUAUCACCAGGUAGGCAAUACAUGUGCCAAACUUUGAAUUUUCUUUCUUCUGACAGGGACUGUAACUUUGGAGGCAGUCAGAAGAAGCAACUUGGGGGAAGUAAGUCUCUAAGGAAAUGUAACUUGAAAAAAAGGAAAGGGUGAGCUUUUCGACAAGACUAGAAAAUUAGGAAGAUAUUGACAAGAAUAAGGAAGAGAGAAGGUUCAGGGAAAUUGGAGGAGCAAGGUGCCUAGAUUAAUGGGACCCUGAAAGUAAGCAAUAGCUAAUUGUUAAUUUCUGCCCCUCCUUUGUGUUUCUGGUCUUAGUGAAUAUCAUUAUCCAUCUUUCUUGAUAGAUGGAUAAUGCUAUUCACUAAGACCAGAAUAACUCGUAUGUUAACUUAUAAACAUAUGAGUUAUUCCUUGAACAAAUCAUUCGUGCCUACUGUUUGCAGACACUGUACUAGAUACUGGAGAUUCAAUAGUUAGACAUGGUUCCUGCCUUCAUGUUCCUCUACAGCAGGAGUUAUAUGUUUAAAAUGUAAACAUACAAAUGUGUGAAUUAAAAUAAGUACUAAGUAUACUGAAGGAAAAGAAGAGGGUACUAUACUGCUAGAGAGAAAUAAAGAAUCUGGUUUUGAUAGAAUGGGCAGUGUUCCACCCAUAGAAGAGCAUAUGUAUAGGUCCCUGAAGUAACAAAGACUUGUUAUCACAAAAAGUCUGAAAGAAGGCUAGUAUCUGAUGGUAUAGCUUUUACCACAUCUUUUUUCUGAAUAUCUAAAAAUCUGGCUAUUUUGGUUUGCCACACUCAAUUUAGCCUUGCCAUUUUUUUCCUGGAUUAUAGGAAAAGUCUCUUAAUUAGCAUCCUGUUCAUUUUUCAUACUUCAUUACAUCAUCUGUUUUUUUCUUAAAAUGCAAAUCUUACUAUCAUUUUCAUUUAACCUUAUCAAUUUCAAGACAAAAUCCAAAUCUUUAGCAUGGUGUAGAAGGCUCUACAUUUCUGGCUUAUGUUCAACUUGUGUUUUGUCACUUCCCUCACUAUACCCUAAAUUUCAUUUUGCUUUUGCCUGGGAUUUUGCCCUUAGUUCAAACAAUCCUCCAUCUGAGCUUCCCUUUUAAUCUCCUCAAGAGACAUUGUUUUUCAGAAUGCCUUCCCGUGGCAUCCUAAUUUGUGCUAAAUGUCCUUCUGUAUGUCUGCAGUACCCAUUGUAUAUUGCUGUCAUCAAUCUUUAGGUUUAAUUGUAAAAGACUCAGUGAACAGAAUUUUUUUUUAGGUCAUUAUUCUGUGCUUGGUAUAGUACCUAGUACCCUAUAAAUGUCAAUUGGCAAAUAAGAGAAAAAAUAUAUAUAUAUAUAUUUUUGGUAAUGAGGAUUGAAUCCAGAGGCACUUAACCACUGAACCACAAGCCACUUUUUUAUUGAGACAGGGUCUCAGUUGCUUAUGGCUUCGCCAAGUUGGUUUGAACUUAUGGUCCUCUUCCCUCAGCCUCCUAAACCACUGGGAUUACAGGUAUGCAUCACUGCACCUGGUCCACAUUAUACUUCUUGAAAUAAUAUUAAUCAAUUUUAAUUUUUUUUUGCUUUUCUCUUUAAAACUAGUCCAUUUUUGAGUGGGUGAGAUAUUCACACAUACAAAAUCCACUAGGUAUGAAAGGUACAGGGAAGCAACUCUUCCUGUCCCUGCCCUUAGCCUCCAUUUCACCUUUGCAAAGGCAAUAAUGUACCAGUAUACUGUUUCCCCAUUAAUUAGUUAAUGUUUAUUGAAAUGUAUAAUUAUAUUAUUAAUGGCAUUCAGUGUGAUAUUUUUCAUACAUGUGUACAGCAUGUGCUGAUCAAACCCAACCUCCCCUAUCCACCGUUCUUUACCCUCCUCCACACCAUACACACAUCUUUCCCACAGUAUGCCCAGUGUUGUGAUAUAAAUGUUGCAAUUCUGCAAAUGUUUCUGUUUUACCUUCUGCUUCCCUGUUAGGCUUUGCUAAUAGGGAGUACUCAAGAAAAAUGGCAUUGGGAGAUGCUCCUUCCUGUCUACUUUUGUUCCUCUGAGGGUCACAAGCAAUAAUACUUCUUUACUCUGGCAGUAGCAAUUCCUUUGGUAGCAGUGGCUGGAUUGGUUUUUCUAACUGGUGGACCUAGCCCCUUUAUCCGCAACCGUCUCACCAGCAUUAACCAACUCUUUCCUCAGAGGUUUGAGUUCCAGUUCUACAGUGCCUCAUCUCUAAGAUUUUUUUCUUUUUCCUUUUCUUUUCCUUUCCUUUCCUUCCUUCCUUCCUUCUUUCUAACUACUAGUCACCUUCCUCCAUAAUACUUUAGAGUUCUCUUUUUACACUUCAGUGCUUAAUUUUAUAUUCAGUUAACAAUACAUUAUAUUAGUUCUCUGUUCAAAAAAUUAGUUUUCUGAAACCUGAAUGAACUUUUAUAUGAUAUGACACAGCAUACUUUUUUGUUUGUUUUUAAAGUUUCUGAUAUAUAUAUAUAUUUUUAAUAUUUUUAAAAAAUGAGUGUAGGGGCUUAACUCUUUGAGGUACUGGGGAAUGAACCCCCCAGGGGUUCUCAAGUGAUAGGCAAGCACUGAACCACAUCCCCAGCCCUUGUUAUGUAAAAUUUUUAACGAAAACAGAAGUAAAGCAAAUACUAAAAUAAACCUUAAGUACCCUUGCACAGCUAUAAAAAUCAUCAACUUAUGGAUACUUUUGCUGUAUUUGUAUUCAAAUCCCCAUUUACCCCACCCCACUGGAUUAUGUUGAAAUAAAUCCAAAGUAAAUGUUUUUAUUUGAAAAAAUGUUUUCUUAUAAAAAUCUUGGGUCAUCUUGAAUUUUUCAAUGAGCCUAC
rnacentral:lncRNA from 1 species